rnacentral:lncRNA from 1 species
AAAUAUUUCACGGAAGCUAGUGGUUGAAUACCCUUGCUCCAUGAUACGUAAUCAUACACAGUGUUACGUAGCUUCAUUAUAAAACCCAAUCUCAUCUGUCCAAACAAAGAAUAAUACCAUCUCAUACCCUCUUUCUAUAUCUCCAAUGGAGUCAGCAAUCGACACGAACUCAUCCAUGCACGACCAGACCGAGACAGAGUUUGGGAAGAAUAAGAAACGGUACCAAGACCUGAUCGCUACGUUUCCUCAUGAGAAAGGCUGGAGACCUAAAGCUCCCUUGAUUGAAUACGGUGGUCACUGGUUUAUUCAGCUUCUCCUUGAAGGCUGUCUCCACGCGCAAGAGUUCUUCCAAGCGCGACCCAUUGACUUCCUUGUCUGUAGCUACCCAAAGACAGGAACCACAUGGCUCAAAGC